GACGAACGCUGGCGGCGUGCUUAACACAUGCAAGUCGAACGAAGUGGCGAACGGGUGAGUAACGCGUAAUCAACCUGCUCUUCAGAGGGGGACAACAGCUGGAAACGACUGCUAAUACCGCAUACUGUAGGAGGGGAUUGCGGCUGAUUAGCUAGUUGGAGGGGUCACGGCCCACCAAGGCGAUGACCAGUAGCCGGUGUGGGGUGAUGAAGGGCCACAUUGGGACUGGGGAACGGCCCAGACUCCUACGGGAGGCAGGAGUUGGGAAUCUUCCGCAAUGGACGAAAAUCUUACGGAGCAACGCCGCGUGAGUGAUGACGGCCUUCGGGUUGUAAAGCUCUGUUAAUCGGGACGCGGUACCGGAAUAGAAAGCCACGGCUAACUACGUGCCAGCAGCCGCGGUAAUAC
rnacentral:rRNA from 1 species